UACCAGCACCCCGAGUGGUCGGGACGAUUAUUGGGCCUAAAGCAUCCGUAGCCGGUCAUGCAAGUCUUCCGUUAAAUCCAGCCGCUCAACGGUUGGGCUGCGGAGGAUACUACGUGGCUAGGAGGCGGGAGAGGCAAGCGGUACUCAGUGGGUAGGGGUAAAAUCCUUUGAUCCAUUGAAGACCACCAGUGGCGAAGGCGGCUUGCCAGAACGCGCUCGACGGUGAGGGAUGAAAGCUGGGGGAGCAAACCGGG
rnacentral:rRNA from 1 species